AACAGAUCCGAGCGUCCGCCGGUCCCCAACGUCCUCUGGAUCGGGCGACCAUGGAGGGAUGAUGUGUGGGGUGAGGUCCGGCAGUGCUCCUGCGUUGACGACGAUGGGGCGGCCCCCUCUAUCGGCGCCAUGGAUGGCCUACGCAGCCAACACAGACGCGGCCUCGAUCUGGGGUACCUCCACAGCGGCCUCGAGCGUCGCAGUGUUCCGACGAAGCAGCUCUGACUGGGUGGAUUUGGAACUGCAGUCCACAUCGCACAGAGGAGUGCCCCACUUCCUCCUCUCCAUGCAGUCCACUGUCAAAGCCAAGGGACUUGCCGUCCCGGGGGCAUCAGAGGCAGCUGGCUUCAAAGGUUGGAGGGGGUUCGGUUAUCUCGGCGGUCAGCGACGAGGGAUCCGAGGCAGCCACCGCGCCGACAGCCCCGUGCAGCUCAGUUGGCAAGCCCGUGCAGCUCGGUUGCCACGGCCGACCUCCAAAGCCUCCUCCCCAACCCCGACACUGGACGGCGCCGCCCCGCCAUCCCUUCACCGUGAUGUAGCUCCGUCGUGCGUUGUCAAGGCGAGGCUACUUCUCCACCCCCUGGACUCGAAGGAUCUGGCCUGAUGCGGUUUCGUCAAGCGCCGCCAUGGAGGAUACAAGUCUCGGGUCCUUCUUCUUCCCAGGUCGCCACUGCUCCGACGCCAUGGAAGGUCGUGAUGCAUGUCAUCCCUUCACUGUGAUACACGUCUUUCCUUCCACCGACGACAGUCGCGGCAGUGCACUCGUCCCUCUCUCUUCCAGUGGAGUUUGGAGUUUGCUAUGUGUCGUUCUUCCGGUUGAAUUUGUAGGUUUUUUCCAGUUAAUUUUUUAAAAGGAAAUCAGUUUCUUUUCCUGAGGUGUGCAGUUUACUUGUGCAUAUUUUCAUAUAAUUUUGCACUUACUCCUGAAGUGCACUCGAUGUGGUCCGCUCUAACAGUUCCCGCAGUUUAGAUGGGAGCUUGAUGAGGUUCUCAUUCAAAAUGCACUACUCGACAGCGGUUCAGCAACUCAUCCCAUGCAGCUCGGUUUGCACAAGCGUGCGGUUUGGUAUAUAGCCCUAUGCAGCUCAAUGUGGUGGCGUACAGUUUGUGCAUGUUUUUUUACUGCAAGUUGUGCAUCGUGCAGUUUGAUCUCGGCCACCACCAUCUCGUUGUUCCUGCCCUUGCGACGCGGAGGCCGCAGUCCACCCGACGUUGCGCUGCAGUCCGCUCCCAGCCCCUUAUCUACAAGUUUGUGGUGAAAAAAUUGUGGUUCACGUUGUUGUGUUGGAGAGAUCUACAAGAUACUCGUUCAAUUUUACUUUUUCAGGUUUUGCUUGGCAAAAAAUUUCAGUUCUCCCAUUCAGAUUCUUUUUUGGGCGUUCUGAUAUCCAGUGUAGUGCGUGUGAGGUACAAAAAAUGUGGUCCAUAUUAUUCAACUUGUGUGUGAUGCGAG
rnacentral:rRNA from 1 species